AGUCUAGCAUGUGCGCGAGUCAUUGGGACUCAAUAAACCUAAAGGCGCAAUGAAAGUGAAAGUCUGUUUACGCGGACUUAGGGAGGAUAGGUGCGUACACAUCUGUGUACAACCUCGCACUCCCGGGGCGUCUCGCACUCAUUGCGAGGUGGGGCGCACCAAGAGCGUACACGCUGGGACCCGAAAGAUGGUGAACUAUGCCUGGUCAGGACGAAGUCAGGGGAAACCCUGAUGGAGGUCCGUAGCGAUUCUGACGUGCAAAUCGAUCGUCGGAACUGGGCUUAGGGGCGAAAGACUAAUCGAACCAUCUAGUAGCUGGUUCCCACCGAAGUUUCCCUCAGGAUAGCUGGCACUAGAUUAUGGAUGAGUCUCAUCCGGUAAAGCGAAUGAUUAGAGGCAUUGGGGUCGAAACGGCCUCAACCUAUUCUCAAACUUUAAAUGGGUGAGAUCUCCGGCUUGCUCGAUUUAUGAAGCCGGAGAUCGGAUCAAUUAGUGCCAAGUGGGCCACUUUUGGUAAGCAGAACUGGCGCUGUGGGAUGAACCAAACGCAGAGUUAAAGCGCCAAAAUCGACGCUUAUGGGAUACCAUGAAAGGCGUUGGUAACUUAAGACAGCAGGACGGUGGCCAUGGAAGUCGGAA
rnacentral:rRNA from 1 species